rnacentral:rRNA from 1 species
AUUGAACGCUGGCGGCAUGCUUUACACAUGCAAGUCGAACGGCAGCGCGGGCUUCGGCCUGGCGGCGAGUGGCGCACGGGUGAGUAAUGCAUCGGAACGUGCCCAGCAGUGGGGGAUAGCCCGGCGAAAGCCGGAUUAAUACCGCAUACGACCUGAGGGUGAAAGCGGGGGACCGAAAGGCCUCGCGCUAUUGGAGCGGCCGAUGCCGGAUUAGCUAGCUUGUGGGGUAAAGGGUUACCAAGCCGACGAUCCGUAGCUGGUCUGAGAGGACGACCAGCCACACUGGGACUGAGACACGGCCCAGACUCCUACGGGAGGCAGCAGUGGGGUAUGUUGGACAAUGGGGGCAACCCUGAUCCAGCCAUGCCGCGUGCGGGAAGAAGGCCUUCGGGUUGUAAAGCGCUUUUGUUCGGGAAGAAAUCCUCUGGGCUAAUACCCCGGGGGGAUGACGGUACCGAAAGAAUAAGCACCGGCUAACUACGUG